UCUAAACUAUCAAAACUAGAUAUUUUCUACCGACAAUGGUAGUUCUCUCUCGAUAUGCAGAGAUACCCCUACCACCAUGGUAGAUUACAGUUUUUUCACGCCUUUUCUCUCAAAGUCACUACUCACUACCCGCUAAUCUCAUCUUCCUUCUGAAUUCCUCUUUCCUCGACCACCACGGAGCGUUCAAUCCCUACGAUGUGGUAACCUCCCCUUCUUCUUUAUCCUUUCAGUUGAAUCUGUGGCUCUGUUGUCCCUGUACGACAUAGUUCUCCUCCUGUGUUUCGUCUAGCUGCAUGCAUGUACCCGAUUCUCCACUUGCAGCAAUGGGUCCGCUAUUUGCAUCAAUUCGGUAGGUAAGGCUUCUACCUCCUGCGAAGUCUCUGCUUGCUUUACUCUUGAUGAUGGAUUAUGGGUUAGACGGAACUUGCUGUGGCGUGGUGCAUCGGUGAGCCUCGCUGCAGGUCCGUUUUCCGGUUUCGUCUUAGAAUUACCUGUCGGUUAAUUCCAAUGGAGGAGCAUGCACCCGACGAGUCGGUCCGACUAGAUGCUCUGUGUCAACGACUUGGUCGAUUAUGUUCUGAGAAGGAAAUCGAAGUUUGGGACGAAUUACCAAAUCCGAAGGGACUACAAGACUGUCGACUUACCUUAAUUGGAAGUAUAGUAUCCAACCCUACUGUUAAUUUGCCAGCUUUUCAGGGCACCAUGACCAGAGUAUGGAAGACCGAACGUGUCCACAUAUCUCAGCGAGAUAAUGGCCUGUAUAUUGCUAAGUUUCAGUUAGAGAAAGAGAAACAGAGAGUAGCUGAUGGAGGUCCAUGGUUGUUUUCAGGACACCUGGUUAUCUUUAAACAAUGGUUGCCUCAAACACCUCUACAUUGGUAUGAUUUUACCUGCUGUGCUUUCUGGGUUCACGUAUACGGUUUACCUCUGGAAUGGAGCACUGAACAGCUCCUUCGCCGGGCCGUGCAACAGAUAGGUUCAGUUGUUGCUGUUGACUCCACUAUAUCUGCAGGAUCAACCAUUAGACACUGCCGAGUUCGAAUAGAGAUCGCCCUCGCCAAUCCCCUGAAGACAGGAAAGCUAAUUAGAAUUGCUGGCAAAACCUUUUGGCUUGAUUUUAAAUACGAACGUUUGCCUAACUUCUGUUAUUCAUGUGGUAGAAUCGGCCACUAUGCGAUGUAUUGCCCAGAAUAUCCUUAUGAUGCAGCCUUACUAGAAGGCAAUAGCAAAAUGGCUUAUGGUCCUUGGCUCCGAGCAGACGUGAAGGAAUAUAGCCCUUAUUGGAAAGCAUUCUAUACUCCACAGGACUUAACUCAGCAAAUGGAUGAUAAUGUACCUGAAACUCCCCCUGAUAUGCAGCCACAACUUCCUUUACUACCUCCACCUGAAUGUCCCAAUCGACCAACAGCAGCGAUGAAUCCACAGCCAGUACAUCUCUCGUCUGCAGCAACGGAAGUUCGGCAGACCACGGAC
rnacentral:lncRNA from 1 species